rnacentral:rRNA from 1 species
GGAAUCGCUAGUAAUCGCGGGUCAGCAUACCGCGGUGAAUACGUUCCCGGGCCUUGUACACACCGCCCGUCACACCACGAAAGUUGGUAACACCCGAAGCCGGUGGCCUAACCCUUAGGGGAGGGAGCUGUCGAAGGUGGGACUGAUGAUUGGGGUGAAGUCGUAACAAGGUAUC